rnacentral:rRNA from 1 species
CCUACGGGGGGCAGCAGUGGGGAAUUUUGCGCAAUGCUCGUAAGAGUGACGCAGCGACGCCGCGUGAAUGACGAAGGCCUUCGGGUCGUAAAGUUCUUUCGACAGGGAAGAAAAUGCCUAUAAGUAACUGUGUAUGUAUUGACGGUACCUGUAUAAGCAGCCCCGGCUAACUCCGUGCCAGCAGCCGCGGUAAUACGGAGGGGGCGAGCGUUGUUCGGAGGGACUGGGCGUAAAGAGCACGUAGGCGGUGUUGUAAGUCAUUAGUCAAAGACUAGAGCUCAACUUUAGUAAGGCUAGUGAUACUAUAAUACUAGAGUAUCAGAGAGGAUUGCAGAAUUCCUGGUGUAGCGGUGAAAUGCGUAGAUAUCAGGAGAAAUACCGUUAGCGAAGGCGGCAAUCUGGCUGGAAACUGACGCUGAGGUGCGAAAGCGUGGGUAGCAAACAGGAUUAGAUACCCUUGUAGUC